GCGGGUGUUGCUUAGUGGUAAAGCACCAGCCUUCCAAGCUGGCUACGCGGGUUCGAUCCCCGCCACCCGCU
rnacentral:tRNA from 1 species